UACGGGGGGGGCAAGCGUUGUUCGGAAUUACUGGGCGUAAAGGGUUCGUAGGCGGCCAACUAAGUCGGACGUGAAAUCCCCAGGCUCAACCUGGGAACUGCGUCCGAUACUGGAUGGCUUGAAUCCGGGAGAGGGAUGCAGAAUUCCAGGUGUAGCGGUGAAAUGCGUAGAUAUCUGGAGGAAUACCGGUGGCGAAGGCGGCAUCCUGGACCGGCAUUGACGCUGAGGAGCGAAAGCCAGGGGAGCAAACGGG
rnacentral:rRNA from 1 species